rnacentral:rRNA from 1 species
CGGGACGGGUGAGUAACGCGUGGAGAACCUGCCGUAUACUGGGGGAUAACACUUAGAAAUAGGUGCUAAUACCGCAUAAGCGCACAGCUUCGCAUGAAGCAGUGUGAAAAACUCCGGUGGUAUACGAUGGAUCCGCGUCUGAUUAGCUGGUUGGCGGGGUAACAGCCCACCAAGGCGACGAUCAGUAGCCGGCCUGAGAGGGUGAACGGCCACAUUGGGACUGAGACACGGCCCAAACUCCUACGGGAGGCAGCAG